AGUCGAGGGGUACGAUGUCUUCGGACAGGCGACGACCGGCGCACGGNCUGAGUAUCGCGUUUGUAACCUACCUUUAACUGGAGAAUAGCCCGAAGAAAUUCGGAUUAAUACUCCAUAACACUAUGAACUGGCAUCUUUUUAUAGUUAAAGCUCCGGCGGUUAAAGAUGGGCAUGCGUAACAUUAGAUAGUUGGUGAGGUAACGGCUCACCAAGUCUACGAUGUUUAGGGGGUCUGAGAGGAUGGUCCCCCACACUGGUACUGAGACACGGACCAGACUCCUACGGGAGGCAGCAGUGAGGAAUAUUGGUCAAUGGGCGAAAGCCUGAACCAGCCAUGCCGCGUGAAGGAUGACAGCGCUACGCGUUGUAAACUUCUUUUGUACAGGAAGAAACACUCUUACGUGUAAGAGCUUGACGGUACUGUACGAAUAAGCAUCGGCUAACUCCGUGCCAGCAGCCGCGGUAAUACGGAGGAUGCAAGCGUUAUCCGGAUUUAUUGGGUUUAAAGGGUACGUAGGCGGAAAAUUAAGUCAGUAGUGAAAUCCUGCAGCUUAACUGUAGAACUGGUUAUUGAUACUGGUUUUCU
rnacentral:rRNA from 1 species